UACGUAGGGUGCGAGCGUUAAUCGGAAUUACUGGGCGUAAAGCGUGCGCAGGCGGCUUUGCAAGACAGAUGUGAAAUCCCCGGGCUCAACCUGGGAACUGCAUUUGUGACUGCAAGGCUAGAGUACGGCAGAGGGGGAUGGAAUUCCGCGUGUAGCAGUGAAAUGCGUAGAUAUGAGGAGGAACACCAAGGGCGAAGGCAAUCCCCUGGGCCUGUACUGACGCUUAUGCACGAAAGCGUGGGGAGCAAACAGG
rnacentral:rRNA from 1 species